UUUGGCACUAGCACAUUUUUGCUUUUGUCUCUCUGCUCUGAGCAAUCAUGUGUAGUGCCAAUAU
rnacentral:pre_miRNA from 1 species